rnacentral:rRNA from 1 species
CAUGGCUGUCGUCAGCUCGUGUCGUGAGAUGUUGGGUUAAGUCCCGCAACGAGCGCAACCCUUGUCAUUAGUUGCUACAUUCAGUUGGGCACUCUAAUGAGACUGCCGGUGACAAACCGGAGGAAGGUGGGGAUGACGUCAAGUCCUCAUGGCCCUUAUAGGUGGGGCUACACACGUCAUACAAUGGAUGGUACAAAGGGUCGCCAACCCGCGAGGGGGAGCCAAUCCCAUAAAGCCAUUCGUAGUCCGGAUCGCAGUCUGCAACUCGACUGCGUGAAGUCGGAAUCGCUAGUAAUCGUGGAUCAGAAUGUCACGGUGAAUACGUUCCCGGGUCUU